rnacentral:rRNA from 1 species
GACGAACGCUGGCGGCGUGCUUAACACAUGCAAGUCGAACGGAAAGGCCCUGCUUGCAGGGUACUCGAGUGGCGAACGGGUGAGUAACACGUGGGUGAUCUGCCCUGCACUUCGGGAUAAGCUUGGGAAACUGGGUCUAAUACCGGAUAGGACCGCACUUUAGUGUGUGUGGUGGAAAGUUUUUUCGGUGUAGGAUGAGCUCGCGGCCUAUCAGCUUGUUGGUGGGGUAAUGGCCUACCAAGGCGGCGACGGGUAGCCGGCCUGAGAGGGUGUACGGCCACAUUGGGACUGAGAUACGGCCCAGACUCCGACGGGAGGCAGCAGUGGGGAAGAUUGCACAAUGGGCGCAAGCCUGAUGCAGCGACGCCGCGUGGGGGAUGAAGGCCUUCGGGUUGUAAACUCCUUUCGCUAGGGACGAAGCUUUUUGUGACGGUACCUAGAUAAGAAGCACCGGCUAACUACGUG